GGAUGAGAAGGCAAAUAGUAUUUUCACCUCAGAGAUACCGAAGCAUGAAGCAUAAGUCAGAUAACAUGACUUACCCAAGUACACGGGAAAACUAUCUGGGAGCAGGAGGAUAAUCCAUAGGAGACCUGCAAUUUUUAUGG